GUCCAACCAAUAGUAGUCCCUCAUGUGAAAAGAAAGUGCACUGAGACGGUUGUUGAUGGCAGAAACAAGACUUUUUGUGGAGUCGUUGAUGCUGAGCAUCUCACGGGAGCUUCGUAAAGCUGAAUAAAAUAGGGCUUGGAUCUCAAGUGGAUGCCCAUGAAUGCCCAUCCGCCUAUCAAUCAUGCAUGACCCAUCAGUGACCAAGAGAGUAGGAAACAAGUCAAAACCAUCACUUAAGCACAGGUUAAGUAUCAGGCAAAUGCCUGUCUGCACAUCCACCCUCUCUUGCAAAUUAUAGUCCCCUGUAAUCCUUCCAUAAGCUCUCAAUAAGAUAACCCACCACAACCCAGAAUCAACAG
rnacentral:misc_RNA from 1 species